rnacentral:rRNA from 1 species
AACGAACGCUGGCGGCAUGCCUAACACAUGCAAGUCGAACGAUUGCCUUCGGGUGAUAGUGGCGCACGGGUGCGUAACGCGUGGGAAUCUGCCCUUAGGUUCGGAAUAACAGCUGGAAACGGCUGCUAAUACCGGAUGAUAUCGCGAGAUCAAAGAUUUAUCGCCUGAGGAUGAGCCCGCGUUGGAUUCGGUAGUUGGUGGGGUAAAGGCCUACCAAGCCGACGAUCCAUAGCUGGUCUGAGAGGAUGAUCAGCCACACUGGGACUGAGACACGGCCCAGACUCCUACGGGAGGCAGCAGUGGGGAAUAUUGGACAAUGGGCGCAAGCCUGAUCCAGCAAUGCCGCGUGAGUGAUGAAGGCCCUAGGGUUGUAAAGCUCUUUUACCCGGGAAGAUAAUGACUGUACCGGGAGAAUAAGCCCCGGCUAACUCCGUG